AAACAAUUCCUAGCCCAGCAAAAAAUAAACCAACCCAAACCCUAAGCAGUAUGACUUCCCCUCUCCAGCCGCCCCAAACUUUGGAGCCAAUCUCCUCCACGUGCGCCACUCCUCCACGCGCGCCAUGGCUUGCGCGCCGCACCUGCACAACAAACAGAAACAAAACAGCAAGAAAAAGGGAUAAUAGCAAACGAAAUAGGAUUUAUUUUUAUUAUUUCGGGCUAUAAAAGCCCUAUUUUCAUGU
rnacentral:lncRNA from 1 species